rnacentral:SRP_RNA from 1 species
AUACGGGCAAGUCCUGUACGACCAGCUCCCUCGGAAUCCUCCAGGACGGGAACGUAGCAAAGGUACUUGGUUGUAGCGGUGCGAUAUAGACCGCUUGCCCACC